CUACGGAUAGCGUCAGCGAACGAUCGC
rnacentral:piRNA from 1 species